rnacentral:rRNA from 1 species
CGCCGGCGGUUCGCCGCCGGUGACGYUGUGAGAAGUUCAUUAAACCUUAUCAUUUAGAGGAAGGAGAAGUCGUAACAAGGUUUCCGUAGGUGAACCUGCGGAAGGAUCAUUG